GACGAACGCUGGCGGCGUGCUUAACACAUGCAAGUCGAGCGGUAAGGCCCUUUCGGGGGUACACGAGCGGCGAACGGGUGAGUAACACGUGGGUGACCUGCCCUUAGCUCUGGGAUAAGCCUGGGAAACUGGGUCUAAUACCGGAUAUGACUCCAUGACGCAUGUUGUGGGGUGGAAAGCCUUGUGCGGCUAGGGAUGGGCCCGCGGCCUAUCAGCUUGUUGGUGGGGUGAUGGCCUACCAAGGCGACGACGGGUAGCCGGCCUGAGAGGGCGACCGGCCACACUGGGACUGAGACACGGCCCAGACUCCUACGGGAGGCAGCAGUGGGAAGUCUUGCGCAAUGGGCGAAAGCCUGACGCAGCGACGCCGCGUGAGGGAUGACGGCCU
rnacentral:rRNA from 1 species